rnacentral:misc_RNA from 1 species
CAUUAUCAAGCACCAAGUAGAAGUUCCAGAUUGUAAAAACUUAUGCAGCAUGAAAUCUUAUAGCAAAAUACUCACAUCUAGCCAUGCAUUGGUCACCGGACCAAGACAACCAUUUGUAAUAUUUGUUCAGUUACUACAAAAGCUUACUAACUCAGCCAAAUAUAUAUAUAUAACUGUUUAGGCUAGACCGUAGGGGUGUUCGGUUCGGGGUUUGCCUAGGAACAGUAACCGAACUGAAAUUUCGGUACGG